GGUAUGGGAUGAGCUUGCGUCCGAUUAGCUAGUUGGCGGGGCAACGGCCCACCAAGGCGACGAUCGGUAGCCGGCCUGAGAGGGUGAUCGGCCACAUUGGGACUGAGAUACGGCCCAGACUCCUACGGGAGGCAGCAGUAGGGAAUAUUGCACAAUGGGGGAAACCCUGAUGCAGCAACGCCACGUGUGGGAAGAAGCAUUUCGGUGUGUAAACCACUGUCGGGAGGGAAUAAGGCGUCUUCUCGGAGGCGUUGAAUGUACCUCGAAAGGAAGCACCGGCAAACUUCGUGCCAGCAGCCGCGGUAAUACGAGGGGUGCAAGCGUUGUUCGGAAUCACUGGGCGUAAAGGGAGCGUAGGCGGAGAUGCAAGCGGACUGUACAAUACCGGGGCCCAACCCCGGGCCUGCAGUUCGGACUGCACCUCUUGGAUAGUUCAGGGGCAGGC
rnacentral:rRNA from 1 species